UUUCGGCUUGAAAGUUUGGGCGUGGACCAACGCGCCGACGAGAGUCCGGUGCUUGUGCUUGUGCUUCGGGCACCCGCACCAGCCCUCUCGCCCGGCCCGUACCAGGACCGGGACCCACAUGCCGGUCGCGGGUCCGACUGGUUCACGCGCCCGCGACGCCGACGCCAACACACGGCCAGCACUACCAGGCGCCAGCGCCACCGCGCCCCACACCGUCGACCGACCAGACCCCGCCUCGUCGGCUCACUUCGCGCGUCGCCACCCCUCCGCUCGUCAUGCCCCGGCGUCCCAGCGCAGAAAUCGGGCAAAUCGCCACCGGCCAUCUACGGGAGGUUGGGGGCGACCUGUUGCGGGCUCACCAAUCCCGCUUCCUUGCCCUCAUCUCGUCGCGAUAGCUUGUGCAGACCCACCCAAUCAGGCAGGGCCCGAGCUACCGGUGAGGCGGUGAUUUCUUCGCGCGACAUUGCUGGCCCAGGUGUGAACGUUCUCCAUUGUCUCUGGGAUCUUCAUUGCGGGAGUACUCAAGUUAUCGGUUCUGUGACGAUGGAGGCGUGGUGGUGAGAGUGGUAGCGAGAGUAGAGGAAAUGGUGGUGCAGGGCCCUAUGGAACCAGUAGUAGAGGAACUCAACAGGCGCCAUGUGGAGCAGCACGGUGAUGAUAGCCCCAUCAGUUCUCCAGACCGGAAGGAGCCUGACAUUUGGGAUGAGUGCAUAGGCCAGAUAGAACUCGAGUCCAUUGAAGAUGAUCUGGUCAUCCCUGUACAGAAUGGACCUCUCCCGGUCCACCUGCUCGAAAUCAAUACUACGGUCUACGAUCAAGUUCUUCCUGCGAGCGGUCUGAUAGCGAGACAAGCUGAUCCAGAUUUGGUUGUGGAUCAUCCUCAGCAGCAGGGCUGGUAACAUGGUGACGUAUGCUGGAUCGAGGUCUGCCCACCCUUUGGUCGCCACCCUGUGGGCAGUGUGCAGCACCGCAGGUGCCAGGACCAGAUCAUUGUUCCUUCUGAAGUUAUUGGUGUGGCUUGAAGGCUGCAUGUCAGUGCGAUUGGCUAUAUGCAAUUUUUGCAUGCAGUCCAUGAAUGCCAGUGAUUCAGAUUUGAUACAGUAAAAGGUUCAUGACUUCAUCAGGCCGAUGUGAGCUAACUAAAUUUAGCAAAAGUUCAGUACACAAGUAGAUAAAAUCUUUAGGAUAUGAUGACUCCAGCUGAGCAUUUAUUUUCAGCCAAGGUCCAAAGAGCCUGAAACAUCAACAGAGAAUUUAUUUUGCUGCCCCCACAUUAAUUGGACAGUAGUGGUGCAUGUUAUUUUAUACUCGGAUUGUUAUCCACAAUGAAAAUUGUCAAUCAUGACCUGGUACUCUCAUGCCAAAAGAAUAGUUAGGGCUUGAUCAGCAUCAUGUUGAACUUGCAUCGUUUUUUUGGAGCCACUUUAUGUUGGAUGCUUGAAAAAAGACUCGUGUUCAUGCAACUAAUCCGGCCAUGCUGUGAAAAAGAAAGCUAAGAAACCUAAAUCACCUAAUCUCAAAGAAACCAUGUCACAACUCUCAUGCCACAGGAAGAAACUCAACAAAUUGCAAAAUCUCUGUCAUGCAACUAUGCCACCAAUAUCAUGUUAGAAUGGUUGGACCAUAUGAGGUUGAUUGUUCACUGUGAUUUUCAUCUUUUGCAACACUAUCAAAUUGACAGUGCACACCUUCCAUUCCUAGCUCUACUUUAAUACUAUGACACAGAACCUCAACCUCAUAGCUCAACUGCUCGAUCAUAUUAGUCUAGCAAUCAUCAAAUAGUUUAUUCCUCAUUAAUUAUUCUCUUCACUUGGUUUCUUGAUCAUUGUGACCAUGUCAUUAGCUUAAGAACAAAAACACUACCUCCCUCCAAUUAAUAAACCCGAAAGUCAGAUAUCUGAAAUGAAAAACAGUGGGAAGGAAACAGCAUAGAUAUGUUGGCAACUUUGGUUACCUUGAAGUUGCCCAUCCAUUGCCAUGGCCAUUCGGUGA